GUGAGGAAUAUUGCGCAAUGGAGGCAACUCUGACGCAGCCAUGCCGCGUGCAGGAAGAAGGCGCUACGCGUUGUAAACUGCUUUUAACCGGGAAGAAACCCUAGGACGUGUCCUGGGUUGACGGUACCGGAGGAAUAAGCACCGGCUAACUUCGUGCCAGCAGCCGCGGUAAUACGAAGGGUGCAAGCGUUAUCCGGAUUCAUUGGGUUUAAAGGGUGCGUAGGCGGAGCGUUAAGUCAGUGGUGAAAUCCUGCAGCUUAACUGUAGACUUGCCAUUGAUACUGGCGCUCUUGAGUGCGCUUGAAGUGGGCGGAAUGUGCCGUGUAGCGGUGAAAUGCUUAGAUAUGGCACAGAACACCAAUUGCGAAGGCAGCUCACUAAGGCGAUACUGACGCUGAGGCACGAAAGCGUGGGGAUCGAACAGGAUUAGAUACCCGAGUAGUCC
rnacentral:rRNA from 1 species